ACUGUUUUAUGAACGCUUGAUAAAUUAAGACUAAACUGGUUUAAUUUCUUCAACGGAAGGAAAAAACAACCAAACAAUCAGAACCUGGUCAGCUUGUUCAGUGGAUGACGAGCCUGAAGGUAGCUGAAUCAGGAAUGUAGAAAAUAUAAAGGAGCACCUGUUCACGCUCACACCUUGGUGGUGUCAUCCACGUGUUAAGGAUAUUUAUAACAAGUUAGAAGCCAUUUUUGAGACUGUUCACGUUGGACAUCUCACUGAGUUUCAAUUCAUCCUCUUUAUCAGAGCAAACUCGAAGUACUUAAAACUCCAUUUGCCUCAGUUUCAGCUGGUAAAUCUUACUGGUUAUUGUUGCCAGUCCUAAAUAAAAUAAAGAGUUUAACCUCUGAAGGCGCUGUAGACGAUGACUGGCCAACAACUCGGGUUUCCUGGGUCUAGAUGACUUUCUGUGUUUGUUUGCUCUGACAGAAUGUAAAGUUUG